AAUCAACACUCGCCAAGGGCGGGGGCGGGGCCGCCUGCGCACGCGGAAGGCCUCACGAGCCCCUUGGUCUCUGAAGACGUUGAUGGACGUAAGAAUGACCCAAUAGAAGCUCAGCCUCCCGCCCGUGCGUGGAGCCAAUUGGCCACCCCGCCCAGAGAGAGGAGGCGCGUUGCCAUGGGGACGAGCGGGCGCCGCUGGACAGGCCGAGGACCCCCCGGGCCCCGCGCCAGACCCGGCUCGGCCCGGCCCGGCCCGCUGUGCGUUCGGCAUCUCCGGACCCCACCAGCGGUGCUGCUCCCGGCCAACCCCGCAGAGAGCGAGGCUCCUGUCCUCUGUCACGCAGAGAAGCCACUCGGUGAUUACACAAUGGUUUGGGGGGCUCGGGUCGAAUAUCACUGCCCUGCGCUGUCCCUCAGCGCAGCCCCAGGCCCUGCUUCCAUCGCCUCGCGUUCCAGUCACAGCUGUAACCCCGACAAAGCCAUCGAAGCUAGACCCUGAUUUAUGUGUGUUACAAGCCGCUGAAGGAAUUGCUGCUGCCUCUGAGGCACACACACAGACCUGAUUUGACACAGAGGAAGCCUCCAAACCCAGGAGAUGCUGGAGAUGGUUUGCUCUCCCAUGAUGGAGUUCAGCUUGUCCAGGCCCUGCUCACAGUGAUAGAUCUGGGAAACAGUGCGAGGCAAAGCUCCAGGCUGUGAUCUCCAGGAGGAAAACAGCACUGGAAAUUCACUUCUCCCUUCUUGAAACUGGAGUGUGACCGCAGAGCGGGAGAAUGCUUGGAACUUAGUCUGCUGUUUGGAGAGGAUUGAAGUAAAACAAAUAUUUUUGUAAUAAAAAUUUAAUAUCCUUUU